UGCCAAGAUAUGGAAGCAACCUAAGUGUCCAUCAACAUAUGAAUGGAUAGAAAAAGUUGUGAGAUAUAUAUAUAUAUGUAUGUAUGUAUGUAUAUAUAAUGGAAUAUUACUCAGCCAUAAAAAGAACGAGAUUUUGCCUCCUGCAGCAACAUGGAUAGACUUGGAGGGUAUUAUGCUAAGUGAAGUAAGUCAGACAGAGAAAGACAAAUACUGUAUGAUAUCACUAUAUGUGGAAUCUAAAAAAUACAACAAAUAGUGAAUAUAACAAAAAAGAAGCAGUCUCACAGAUACAGAGAAGAAAUGAGUGGUUACCAGGGAGGAGAGGUAAGAUAGGGGUGGGGGAUUAUGAGGUAAAACAAUUAUGUAUAAAAUAAGCUAUAAGGAUAUAUUGUACAAUACCAGUAAUAUAGCCAAUAUUUUAUAAUAGCCAAUAUUUUAUAAUAACUAUAAAUGGAGUAUAAAAAUUGUACACCUGUAACAUAUAAUAUUGUACACCAACUAUACUUCAAUUAAAAACAUUUUUUUAAACCAUAAGCCCAUUUCACUUACAAAUGUUUGUUUGAAAGUCCCAAAUAAGGUAUUAGUUAACUGAAUCCAUGAACGUAUUUUACAAAUAUAUUAAGAAAGUGUUUAAUCCCAGAAAUGCAAGAUCACAAAAUCUAUCAAUGCAAUUUACUAUAUUAAUAGACUCCCAUCCUCACUCUCAGCUGGUUUUGCUUUCUACUUUAUAAGAAAAUUGAAGGAAUCAGAAGAGAACUUGUAUUUGCUCCCUUCACUGUCUUUUUACUCAUCUCUUAACAUCUGUACCCAUAAUUCUGCCUUCCUAAGUAUUUCCAUAGAUGAAUUAUCCACUCUAAAACCAAUUCCUCCACUUAUGGACUAGAUCUAUUUCCUCCUGCCCACUCCGGGAUAUCACCCCAGCAGUGCUUCUCUUUAUCUUUCUUUCAUCAUUAUUUUUUCACUUCUAGCGAACCACUCCUAUCAGCAAAUGUGAUAUUUCUCCCACU
rnacentral:lncRNA from 1 species